rnacentral:piRNA from 1 species
UCCUAUGUAAUUGAUGGAUUUGUGUGUGU